GCCACCUGGGAGGCUGAGAUGAGAGGAGUGCUUAUGCCCUGGAGGUCAACGCUGCAGUGAGCUGUGAUUGCACCACUGCACUCCACCUGACAGAGUGACACCCCCCCAUCUCUAAAAAAUAAAAAAAAAAAAGUGGGAAGAACAAUCACACCACGGUUUAACUGAUCAGCUACGAUGGGAACUGUGAAAGGCAUUCCACAGAGUGAAUCAAGGCUUCAGGAGGAGGCCCUGACUUAUCCUGGAGGCAGAGGGUUCUCCCAGGAAUGGCGUCUUAGCUGAAGCCUGACCCAGAAGGUAGACGGGCAGGAACGAGGUAAUGUGGAGACUGUUGGGAGCAGGCAAGGACUUCAUCCCAAGGCAAUGGGAGGCCCUCUGUACUCCCUCUUGUGAUAACUGCUUCCCUUCUUUCGGGCAGUGCUCCUGACCCCACUCUAGCUGUGUGGGUGGGUCCCUACCUGGUUGAGUCAACCAGAUCCCAUCCCUGGGAUUUUAAACUUGGAACCAGAAGGAGAGUGAUCAUCACCUCUUUUCUAGGGUGAAUCAAUGAGAAGUGAGGCUCCGAAGCUUGGAUCUCAAGUUCACAGAAGCAGCUGGUUGAGGGUGAAGCUUGCACACAGAGGCCAAGGAAGGAUGCCUACCCAUGUCCAGCUGCCCCAGGGCCCUUUCAGGACUGCUAUUUUGAGCCCCUUCCUUCCUUAACUGGUUUGAAUUGGUCACCGUCACUUGCAACCUAUUGAGUCCUAGCUAAUGUACCAUGACAGGGUUCAAGACUUGGUCAGAGAAGAGCUGGGGUAUAGGAUGCUGGGGAAGGGUACCCAUUAAUCCUCCCUUCUAAGUGGUAACUGAGAGAAUGAACAAGAACAAUAUACAGUUAAAUGAAAAUAAAAAGGCACAGUGGCUCAAGCCUAUAAUCCCAGCACUUUGGGAGGCCGAGGCAGGCAGAUCACAAGGUCAGGAGUUCGAGACCAGCCUAACCAACAUGGUGAAACCCCAUCUCUACUAAAAUUACAAGAAUUAGCCAGGCGUGAUGGCGCGCCACCUGUAAUCCCAGCUGCUCAGGAGGCUGAGCAGGAGAAUCACUUGAACCCGGGAGGCGGAAGUUGCAGUGAGCUGAGAUCAUGCCACUGCACUCCAGCCUGGGCGACAGAGCAAGACUCCGUCUUAAAAAAAAAAAAAAAGAAAAUAAACACAGACGCUUUAAGGAUCAGUUAACAACAAGACACAGACUCUAAUAUUCACUGACAUAAAGUUUCAGAAAGGGCAAAAUUAAUCUCUGGUGACAGGGGCCAGAACAGUGAUGACCUGGGGUGGGGUGUGGGUUGGUCUCUCCUGUGAGGUUUGGAAGGGCAGGUACACACGCGUGUGCACUUACCAAAACCUACUGCACUGUGCAUCCGACUGCACUGAUGUCCCUGGCUUCUUUGAGGCAACUUGGGUGACAGGCACGUGCCAUGACACCUGGUUGAUUUCUAAAGAUUUUGUCGAGGCAGGGUCUCUGUUGCCCAGGCUGGUCUCGAACUCCUGGCCUCAGGCCAUCCUCCUAACUAGUUCUCCCCAAGUGCUGGGAUCACAGGUGUGAGCCACUGCACCUGGCCCUGUUCAGAUUUUCUAUUUUUCCUGGGACAAUUUUGGUCAUUUGUAUCUUUCUAGGAAUUUUUUUGUUGUUGUUUUGAGACAGAGUCUCACUCUGUCACCCAAGCUGGAGUGCAAUGGCAUGAUCUCAGCUCACUGCAACCUCUGCCUCCUGGGUUCAAGUGAUUUUCCUGCCUCAGCCUCGUGAAUAGCUGGGAUUACAGGUGUGAGCCACCACGCCUGGCUAAUUUUUGUGUUUUUAGUAGAGACAGGGUUUCACCACUUUGGCCAGGUUGGUCUCGAACUUCUGACCUCAGGUGAUCUGCCUGCCUCGGCCUCCCAAAGUGCCGCGAUUACAGGCGUGAGCCACCACACCCAGCCAAGAUGUCGCAUCUUUUUAAAUGUUGGCAUUUGCAGCUAUAAAUUUCCCUCAGAGCAGUUUUUGCCGCAUUCCUUAAGUUCUGGUAUGUUGUUUUCAUCCAUCUCUAUUUCCUAAUUUUUCUCGUGAUUUCUCCUUUGACCCUUUGGCUGUUAAAAAGUGUGUUCAAUUUCUAUGUAUGUGUGAAUUUUCAUUUUCCUUCUGGUAUGGAUUUCUGGUUUUAUUCCAUUGUGAUUGGAGAAGGUGGUUUGCAGGAUUCCGAUCUCUAAUUUACUGAGACUUGCUUUGUGCACUAACGUGUGGUCUGUCCUGGAGAACGUUCCCUGUGCACUUAGAAACGUGUGUUCUGCUGCUAUUGGGUGGAGCACUGUUAAGUCUGGUCAGCCUUUUGGUUUUUAUGUAAUACUUGGCACAUUCACAAGAAAAUGUGUGAAACAGAAAGUACGACAAAGUGAAACCCACGAAGCCACCACUGACCCUGAGGUUCAAAACCUCCAGCAUCUCUGCUCUUCCCUAAGCACAGCUCCGUCCCCUCCCCACGGGUGAGCACUGUGUUGUACUGACUCCCUGCCCUCCCUGAUGACUUUAGCACCUGGGUAUGAAUUCCACACAUAUUUGGUUUUGAGCUUUAUAAAAAUGGCAUCAUACUGUAUGAACUGUCUUGCUUUUUCAUCCCACGUUGUUUCUGAGAGGUGUUUGUGAUGGAGCACAGGGCCAC
rnacentral:lncRNA from 1 species